GUCUCAGGCCGUAUCAGCCUGAAGGCGCCCGAUCUCGUCUGAUCUCGGAAGCUAAGCAGGGUCGGGCCUGGUUAGGAUCUUGGAUGGGAGACCACCUGGGAAUCCCGGGUGCCCGAGGCU
rnacentral:rRNA from 1 species